CGGCUUGUUGCGGAGAAAUGAAGUGAAUAUGGGUAUCAACACCGCCUGCGGUAACAAUCGAAUUUUCACCAGCAAUAAUCUCAGUCGCUGAGCCAAUUGCCAUCGUAACAUUCGGCUGAAUAUCCGGGUUACCGGCUUUUCCGAUAUUAGCUACUUUGCCAUUCUUGAUCCCUAUAUCCGCUUUUACAAUCCCCCAGUGAUCGAUAAUAAUUGCAUUGGUAAUGACGGUAUCCAUAACAUCCGCAUGAUUUCGCUGUGAUUGUCCCAUACCAUCCCG
rnacentral:sRNA from 1 species